rnacentral:lncRNA from 1 species
UGAGAAAGGAAUUCUAAGCAUGGGACAAAUGGAAGAAUCUGCAAUUAUAAUAAUAGUAGAACUGUUAUAUGCUAUAUCCUGGACCAAUCAAUACAAGAAUAAAAUUGGAAAAAAGGUUAAUAAAAAUAUGGAGAGACUCUGAUGGCCAUUCAACUGGAUGCAUAUCAGUCAUGAAGGUUACAAAGAACAUAGACUGGGGGAAAAAAAGAGAGCCUCCUGGAAGGAAGAAUUUUAAGCUUCUUAGGCCAUGGCUGUGGAUCAGGACUUGUUCUAUAAAUAGGCUGCUUGGCGACUGGGUGUCCAUUAGCAAGCGCUCAGCCCAACACGAGGAGCUCCACAGGGCAGAUGCAGGCUGACAUCUCCAUGAGUGACAUCUCAGGAACAUUUCAUGCUUCAUGUAUUACUGACUUUACUUCCAAAAGCUUCACAGCUUUAAUCUAUAAUAUCUAUUACAGCAUGGAUCCUGCAAAUGAAAAGUGCCAUUAAUUUGUUUAGGAUUACUCACAUAAAAUCUUUCAUGUCUUUCUCUGAUCGAGAUCAAAGAUCAUGAUGCAUUUUAAU